GCUGGGCGUGGUGGCGCAUGUCUGUAAUCCCAGCUACUUGGGAGGCUGAGGCAGGAGAAUCACUUGAACCCGGGAGGUGGAGGUUGCAGUCAGCCGAGAUCACACCACUGAACUCCUACCUGGGUAACAGAGUGAACCUCUGUCUCAA
rnacentral:sRNA from 1 species